AAGUGUGGACGCUCUAUACACUGGAGGACUCCGAAAAUCCUCAGCCAAUCAUCAGACACAUUUGUGGGCACGUCGCAGGAAGACUGACUUGCUAUUGGCUAGUAAAAGUAAAGGCCACCCAACGACUUCCGCUCCGCUCCUUUUAAGAACAAGCCUCACAGCCGCUCCAUCCUUUCGAGACUACGGAUCCGGGAAGGGCCCUCCCCGUCGAGGACGCCAGUGUGCGCUCUGCGUUGCAUUUUCAGCCCCUCCCUGCCUCCGAGCGUCAAUAAAGUGGCUUGACCCCC